GUUGUCUGAUAGGGCAUUGCCGGGCAGCUACGCGCUAGGUGAUAAAGGCUGAAAGCAUCUAAGCCUGAGGUAUUCCCUGAAAAUAGAUUGCUUAGAACAUGAGUAGAAGACUUGUUUGAUGGGGUAGGGAUGUGAGCUUCGAGGUUUUUUUUAUCCGAGUUGUUGAGUCCGCUGCUUCCAAUUGUUCGCU
rnacentral:rRNA from 1 species